CUUCUCCAGGAGGAGGCGCAGCUGCUCGAUGCUGCUGUUGAUACGAUCUCUCCUCAUCUUCUCUAUCACCGGUUUCCUCAGCUGGAGACAAGACAUGGCCGCGGACGCUGUCGAUAUAAUACCCCGAAGAGCGGCCAUUACUGAGUCACAGCUCGGCUUAUGACGGAACAAUGGACGUGUGUCUGAGUGAACUGCGGCUCAACAAAGCAACAGCUGGAGACGGGGUCACCCACGGCAUGAAAGGCCCCAAUGUGGGAAAGGGACGGCGAAAACACGAAGCCAAUGUGACCCCGCUCUGCGGCUAAGCGCAAUUUAAUAGCUUUUAUCCAUUUUUUUUUACUAAAAACAUUCUUGGAAGCAGGAAGAAGACAGAAGCAACAAAGGAACUGGAAGUCCAUGGAUCGG